CCUACGGGAGGCUGCAGUGGGGAAUAUUGCACAAUGGGGGAACCCCUGAUGCAGCGACGCCGCGUGAGUGAAGAAGUAUUUCGGUACGUAAAGCUCUAUCAGCAGGGAAGAAAAUGACGGUACCUGACUAAGAAGCCCCGGCUAACUACGUGCCAGCAGCCGCGGUAAUACGUAGGGGGCAAGCGUUAUCCGGAUUUACUGGGUGUAAAGGGAGCGUAGACGGCAGCGCAAGUCUGGAGUGAAAUCCCAUGGCUUAACCAUGGAACUGCUUUGGAAACUGUGCAGCUAGAGUGCAGGAGAGGUAAGCGGAAUUCCUAGUGUAGCGGUGAAAUGCGUAGAUAUUAGGAGGAACACCAGUGGCGAAGGCGGCUUACUGGACUGUAACUGACGUUGAGGCUCGAAAGCGUGGGGAGCAAACAGGAUUAGAUACCCCGGUAGUC
rnacentral:rRNA from 1 species